UACGUAGGGUGCGAGCGUUAAUCGGAAUUACUGGGCGUAAAGCGUGCGCAGGCGGUUGAUUAAGACAGGCGUGAAAUCCCCGGGCUUAACCUGGGAACUGCGCUUGUGACUGGUCGGCUAGAGUACGGCAGAGGGGGGUGGAAUUCCACGUGUAGCAGUGAAAUGCGUAGAGAUGUGGAGGAACACCGAUGGCGAAGGCAGCCCCCUGGGCCGAUACUGACGCUCAUGCACGAAAGCGUGGGUAGCAAACAGG
rnacentral:rRNA from 2 species